GACGAACGCUGGCGGCGUGCUUAACACAUGCAAGUCGAACGGAAAGGCCCUGCGUUUGUGGGGUUCUCGAGUGGCGAACGGGUGAGUAACACGUGAGUAACCUGCCCUUGACUUUGGGAUAACUUCAGGAAACUGUGGCUAAUAUCGGAUAGGAGCUGCUGCUGCAUGGUGGGGGGUGGAAAGUUUCGGCGGUUGGGGAUGGACUGGCGGCUUAUCAGCUUGUUGGUUGGGUAGUGGCUUACCCAGGCUUUGACGGGUAGCCGGCCUGAGAGGGUGACCGGCCACAAUGGGACUGAGAUACGGACCAGAGUCGUACGGGAGGCAGCAGUGGGGAAUAUUGCACAAUGGGAGGACGCCUGAUGCAGCAACGCCGCGUGCGGGAUGACGGCCUUCGGGUUGUAAACCGCUUUAGCCUGUGACGCAGCGUGAGUGACGGUAAUGGGUAAAGAAGCACCGGCUAACUACGUG
rnacentral:rRNA from 1 species